GUGCAUAGCUUAGUGUUAGAGCAUUUGCCUAGCAUGCACAAGGACCUGGAUUCAAUCUUCAGUAAUGCACA
rnacentral:tRNA from 1 species